UACGUAGGUGGCGAGCGUUGUCCGGAUUUACUGGGCGUAAAGGGAGCGUAGGCGGACUUUUAAGUGAGAUGUGAAAUACCCGAGCUCAACUUGGGUGCUGCAUUUCAAACUGGAAGUCUAGAGUGCAGGAGAGGAGAAUGGAAUUCCUAGUGUAGCGGUGAAAUGCGUAGAGAUUAGGAAGAACACCAGUGGCGAAGGCGAUUCUCUGGACUGUAACUGACGCUGAGGCUCGAAAGCGUGGGGAGCAAACAGGAUUAGAUACCCGU
rnacentral:rRNA from 1 species